rnacentral:tRNA from 15 species
AAGGGAGACCUAAUUCAGGUAGGAGACGAAAAAAAGUAGUCCCUACCAAGAAUCAAUCCCAAAAGGUCGGAGCGAGGCAAAAUUGGCUUUCAAACUAGGUUCUGGGUUCACAUAAGACCUGAAUCAGGAACAAGGGCUAUUAGCUCAGGUGGUUAGAGCGCACCCCUGAUAAGGGUGAGGUCCCUGGUUCGAGUCCAGGAUGGCCCACCUGCACAGGUGGCAAAAACAAAGAAAAGAAGCUCCGAAUCAGCACCUUAUCUUACUCAUAUAGUAAGAGAGAAUGCUGGCUCUGAGUUCAGAGUCCAGAGGAACCUUGAAAACUGCAUAGAGCUAGGUGAAAAAGCCAAAAAAGAAGACCGCAA